UGACCCCAGGUCAGGCAGAAAUACCCACUGAGUUUAAGCAUAUCAAUAAGUGGAGAAAAAGAAACAUACAAGGAUUUCCUUAGUAACGGAAAUAGAAUCAAGAAUAGCCCAACCCUAGAAUUGGGUGGCUCCGUUAUUCGAAUUGUAGUCUGGAGAAGCGUCCUCAGUUGUGGACCAAGCGCAAGUCCCCUGGAGGGGGGCGCCAGAGAAGGUGAGAGCCCCCAUUAUGCCCGAACCCUUUCGUACUGUGAGGCGCUGUCUACAAGAUGGGUUGUUUGGGAAUGUAGCCUAAAUCGGGCAGAGAAUUUUGUCCAAGGCUAAAUACGGGCGAGAGACUGAUAGCAAAAAAGUACCGCAAAGGAAAGAUGAAAAGGACUUUGAAAAAAGAGUCAAAGAGUGCUUGAAAUUAUCGGGAGGAAAGAGAAUGGGGGCAGGUGAUAUGCCCCGGCCGAAUGUGGAAUGGCAAUGAGCCGAUCCGCCGAUCGACUCGGGGCAUGGACCAGUAUGGAUUGGGGGCGGUCAAAGCCCAGGCUCUCGAUAAGCUUCUGGAAUGCCAUCUCCUCAAUUAUGGUAGGCAGGGAUACACCUCUGGCGUGCUUUUCCAUCUCCGUGUUCCAGACCCUAACCUAUGGGCUCCCCAGUUAACCUAUCUUGAAACACAGAUAAAGAGCCUACAAUGUGUGCGAGUCAGCGGGCGAGUAAACCCAUAAGAUGUAAAGAAGCUAAUUGGUGGGAUCCUACUGAGGGGUAUACAACCGACCGACCUUGAUCUUCUGAAAAAGGUUUGAGUGUGAGCAUACCUAUUGGGACCCAAAAGAUAGUGAACUAGGACUGAGCAGGGCGAUGCCAAAGGAAACUCUGGUGGAGGCCCACAGCGAUACUGACGUACAAAUCAUUUGCCUGACUUGGGUAUAUCGGAUAAAGACUAAUCAAACUGUAUAGUAGUUGGUUCCCUUCAAUAUUUCCUUCAGGAUAGCUGGAGCACGCGUAUGAGUUCUAUCGAGUAAAGCCAAUGAUUAGAGGCCUCGAGAGACGCCUUUUACCUAUUCUCAAACUUUAAAUAGGUAGAAUGGUAUGGCUGCUUUGUGGAGCCACACUAUGGAAUGAAGAGCUCCAAGUAGGCCAUUUUUAGUAAGCUAAACUGGUGAUGCGAGAUAAACCAAAAUUUUGGUUACGGUGCCAAACAAUGCGCUAACCUAGAUCCCACAAAAGGUGUCGGUCGAUUAAGACAGAAGGACAUUGGUCAUGGAAGUUGAAAUCUACUAAGGAGUGUGGAAAAACUCACCUACCAAAUCAACUAGCCCCGAUAAUAGAUUGCUCUUAAGCACACGACCUAUACCCAGCCAUUGGGACAAGUGCCAGUCUUCGAAGAGUAGGAGGGCAAGACGAUCACUACAAAACCUUAGGCGCGAGCCCAGGCACGAGUGGUCAUCAAUCCAAAUCUUAGUGGUAGUUGAAAAUAUUAAAAUGAGAACUUUAAAGGCCGAAGAGGGGAAAGGUUCCAUGUGAAUGGCACUUACACAUGGGUUAGUCGACCCUAGGGGUUGUGGAAGCCCCAACAAAUAGCACGGUUCAUGCGUACUCCAAAAGGGAAUCGAGUUAAAAUUCUUAAACUAGGAUGUGGUGGUUGACAGCAACGUUAGAAAUUCUAGAGACGUUGGCAAAAACCUCAGGAAGAGUUAUCUUUUCGGUUUAAUAGCUUGCCAACCCUACAAUUAGCUCAUCCAGAGGUAGGGUCCAGUUGCUAGAAGAGCACCGCACGUUUCGUGGUGUCCAGUGUUCCCUUGGAGGCCCUUGAAAAUCCAAAGGAGCAAAUGGCAUCCAUACCCGGUCAUACUCAUAACCGCAUCAGUGUCCAAGGUGAACAGCCUCUGGUCGAUGGAAUAAUACAAGCAAGGGAAGUUGGAAAAAUAGAUCCGUAACUUUGGGGAAAGGAUUGGCUCUAAGGGCUGGGCACGGGGGUCCCAGCUCCAAAGUCGUCGGCUGUCGGUGGACUACUCAAGCUGCUCUCAUAGCGAGAGCGGGUCACUACGUGCCGGUCGGGGGAAGAACUGUGAACAGUUCCUUUGAAGGCCUUCCUGUGCAUCGAACAGCCUACUCAAAACUGGCAUGGACAAGGGGAAUCCGACUGUUUAAUUAAAACAAAGCAUUGCGAUGGUCCUAAUGGAUGUUCACGCAAUGUCAUUUUUUCCCAGUGCUCGAAAUUUUAAAGUGAAGAAACUCAACCAAGGGCAGGUAAAUGACGGGAGUAACUAUAACUCUCUUAAGGUAGAAAAAUGCCUCAUUAUCUAAUUAGUGAUACGCAUGAAUGGAUUAAUGAUAUUCCCACUAUCCCUGCCUACUAUCCAGUGAAACUACAGCCAAAGGAAUAGGCUUGGAAGAAUCAUUAGGGAAAGAAAAAAAGAAAACCUUGUUUAGCUUGACUCUAGUUCGACUUUGUUAAAUGACUUGAGAGGUGUAGUAUAAGUGGGAGCCGAAAGGUGAAAGUGAAAUACCACUACUAUUAACGUUAUCUUACUUAUUUCGUGAAUCGGAAGCAGGGAACUGUCCCUCUUUUUAGACCCAAGGCUCACUCUAUGGGACAAUCUGGGAAAAAGAAAUUAUUAGAUGAGGAUUUUGGUAGGGGUGGCACAUUUAUUAAAAUAUUACGUAGGUGUACUAAGAUAAGGUCAACGAGAACAGAAAUCUCAUAUGGAAAAGAAGUGUAAAAGGUCAUUUGAUUUUGAUUUCCAGUACGAAUACAAACCGUGAAAGCAUAGCUUAAUGAUCCUUUAGACCUUCGAAAUUUGAAGCUAGAGGUGUCAGAAAAGUUAAUAGAGGGAUAACUGGCUUGUGGAAGCCAAGCAUUCAUAAAGACAUUGCUUUUUGAUCCUUUGAUGUCGGCUCUUCCUAUCAUUGUGAAGAAAAAUUCACCUAGUAUUGGAUAUUUCACCCACCAAUAGGAAACAUAAGCUGGAUUUAGACCAUCGUGAGACAGGUUAGUUGUACCCUACUGAUGACGGUGUCUCAAUAAUAAUUCAACCUAGUACUAAACAAACCAUUGAUUCACAUAAUUGGUCAUUGUGCUUGGUUAAAAAGCCAGUGGUGUGAAGUUACCAUGUGCUAGAUUAUGACUAAAUGCCUCUAAGUUAGAAUCCAGACUAAAAGUGACGCAUGUGCCCUCCAUCUGCUUUCUAACCCACAGUAGGGGCCUCGGUCCCCAAGGGCAUAUGUCGUUGGCUAAGCCAUUGCAGCAAAAGGGUCACGGUGGCCGCCUUUAAGUACAAUUUUCAUCGAACAGUAGGUAGAAUCCUUUGUAGACGACUUAAAUAUGCGACCGAGUAUUAUAAGUGGCAGAGUGGCCUUGCUGUCACGAUCCACUUAGAUUCAGCUCUUUAUCGCUCCAAUUCAU
rfam:Capsicum annuum cultivar Zunla-1 chromosome 6, whole genome shotgun sequence